AUAUUCAGAUUGUUGCCUGGAAAUGUUGUUUAGGGUUCAAAAGAGUCCAAGUAAAAGUUUGUGAAUUAUUCGCUUUUAUUAACAAUGUAGCUUAAGAAGAAACUAUGUCCUUCAAGGUGACCACUCACUUCAAAGUUCAAAAUCUGGAAAACUAAUUGUACGAUUUGGAUAAAAUAAAAAGCAUGAUAUUCAGUUAAGUAUUGCCUGGAAAUAUUAUUAAGGCUUUAGAACAGUCCAAGUAAAAGUUUGGGAAAUAUCCGCCUUUAUUGACAAUGAAACCUAAGAUGGCAUUAUGUCCUUCAAGGUGACCACUCACUUUAAAGCUCAAUAUCUGGAAAAAUAACCGUACGAUUUGAAUAAAAUAAAAAACAUGACAUUCAGUUGAGUAUUGUCUGGAAAUAUUGUUAAGGGUUUAGAACAGUCCAAGUAAAAGUUUGGGCAAUAUUCGCCUUUAUCGACAGUGAAGCCUAAGAUGUCAGUAUGUCCUUCAAGGUAACCACUUACUUCAAAGUCCAAUAUCUAGAAAAAUAAUU